AGUUUGUAUACCGCUGUUGUCAGUCAGUUUCUUUAGAAAACUUUCUUUAAUGAAAAAAUCAUGGACUUCAAGUAAAGGUGCAGCUUAUGUAAAAGAUAGAGGUGGGUUACAUUUAUUAGAAUAAAACAAAUAAAGUUUAUGAAAUAACUUUUGAAGGUGGAUUUAAUUGUAAAGUUUAAGAAAACUUGAUGUGAGCUCUAUCUUGUGUACAC
rnacentral:rRNA from 1 species